CCUACGGGAGGCAGCAGUGGGGAAUAUUGCACAAUGGGCGCAAGCCUGAUGCAGCAACGCCGCGUGAGGGACGACGGCCUUCGGGUUGUAAACCUCUUUUAGUAGGGAAGAAGCGAAAGUGACGGUACCUGCAGAAAAAGCACCGGCUAACUCCGUGCCAGCAGCCGCGGUAAU
rnacentral:rRNA from 1 species